AAAAAAAGCAAACAAAUGAACCAAGUCUUUCAUGAACCAUAAACAGAUCUUCCCUUACUCACAAAUCAAGAGUUUUCUCUGUUCCUCUCAGGUAUUGUCAUAAGGCCCUUAAUCUAGGAUUGGAAGACAACUUUUUGAUUUUAUGUCCUUCAAUAUAUGAUUUGUUGAAGUAUGUCCAUGCAAGUGGCUGCUUUUGUAUUUAGACCACGACCCUGUUAUAACCUCAUAUUACUUUAUUAAACACACAAGGCAAUGACCGUAAUGAGAAAAUACUAAAAGAUCCAAUGUAAAAUCAGUUUAUAGACCUAUCCCCACCAAAAUCAAGCAAAACACCUAGAACACUCAAAAUUGCUCAUUAAUUGGGUGUAGACCAUCUCAAUCUGAAGCAAAGCAAAAUGAAACAGCACUACCAAACAUUCAAGACAAUCAAAAGAUAAAUCAAAUCACUAGAGUAGCAAAGAUCCUAACUCCAAGUAUCCUAUGCCAUCAUUCUUCUAUGCUUGAAUUACACAUGAAGAGAGGCAUUGGAAAUAAUAGUAAAUAAUAAUAGUGUGAGAACAGUCGUAGGAGAUAAAAAAGAGUUUCUCAUAACCGUGGGUUGACUCAAGGGAUCGACGUUGAACCGUACUUGUUUACCCUAGUUAUGGAUGAACUAACUAACAAAAUACAAGAUGCGGUCCCAUGAGGUAUGUUAUUUGCUGACGAUAUUGGGUUAAUUAAUGAAAACAAGGGUGUCAACCAAAGGACUUAACUAUGGGGAAGCACUCUAGAGAAUAAGAAUUUUAGGAUAAGUAGAAGUAAGAUAAAACAUAUGCACUGAAAAUUAUAGACAACAUUAGAACAAUGAAUUGAUGU
rnacentral:lncRNA from 1 species